UCUACGGGUGGCUGCAGUGGGGAAUAUUGGACAAUGGGCGAAAGCCUGAUCCAGCCAUGCCGCGUGUGUGAAGAAGGCCUUCGGGUUGUAAAGCACUUUCAGUGGGGAAGAAAGCCUUGGGGCUAAUACCCUCGAGGAAGGACAUCACCCACAGAAGAAGCACCGGCUAACUCCGUGCCAGCAGCCGCGGUAAUACGGAGGGUGCGAGCGUUAAUCGGAAUUACUGGGCGUAAAGCGCGCGUAGGCGGUCUGAUAAGCCGGUUGUGAAAGCCCCGGGCUCAACCUGGGAACGGCAUCCGGAACUGUCAGGCUAGAGUGCAGGAGAGGAAGGUAGAAUUCCCGGUGUAGCGGUGAAAUGCGUAGAGAUCGGGAGGAAUACCAGUGGCGAAGGCGGCCUUCUGGACUGACACUGACGCUGAGGUGCGAAAGCGUGGGUAGCAAACAGGAUUAGAUACCCUGUAGUC
rnacentral:rRNA from 1 species